rnacentral:lncRNA from 1 species
CAGCCCACUUAUUUUUUUUAGAAACACAUUUUCCAUGAAUGAUUAAUUAACCUUAACAUUGCAAAAUGCACCCGGCAGCCCAUAUUUUGUUAUUUUUUUACGACAAAUAUUAGUGACAGUCCAUAUUUAAUGCAUGCAUGUGAAAAAGAAUAAAUCAGUUGAAGAGGAAAUUUGGAAAACAAGCGGGAGGCGGCAAGUGUUAUAAUUAAAGAGAUCGCAAGAAGCAGCAAAAGCUAGGACUGGUUUUGUUUAGUUGGGAUGUCGGGAGUUUUG